rnacentral:lncRNA from 1 species
UCUAACAACAAUUUCCUUCCCCCUUUCCGACGAUUUUCCGUCGCCCCGCGGCCGCCUGCCCGGAGAUCCAACUUCACGGAGCGGCGGCAGCCUUCUUCCGCCGCGGCUGAGCAGCAUACGGAGAGUGCUUCUUCUCCGGCGGAGGUGGAUUACUGGGCUUGCAGUUGGGCUCCUUGUUGGGCUUCCGGCAACUGCACACUGUGUAGCUAACAGCUUGAAUUUCUGUAGAGUCGUCAUGAUUUGUUCCUGUAAAUAGUUUAAUUUAAUGAAUUUUAUUUUUAUUUUUUUUAUUAUCAAUUUUGCAGAUUAAAAUGAAUUGAGGAUUUGGAAUUUUCAAAGGGUGAAGGGGAAGAAGAUGAAAAGGAAAGUGUGGGCAUGGUCUUAUGAAAGGUGGCCAUUAGAUAGUCUUUGUUUGGUUCAUUGUAUAUUUAUAAAGAAUUUUCAUUUUUAUUAAUUGCUAAAAAUAUACUCCCUCCGUCUAAUAAAUAUAAUUAUGUUUUUUUUUUUUUUGUCUAUUUCAAAUUAUAGUAUUAUUUCUUAUUUAGUCCCUGUUUGAUCCCCAUUACCUAAAAAUGAAAAUGGGAGAAUAAUAUUUUUUAGAAAAAUGAGUGGUUAAAAAAGAACGAAAAAUUUUCGAUUUACGUGUAAUAUUAUUUUAUGGAAGAUUGUGUGGUUGAAAAUAGGAAAGAGAAAAAUAAAAUGUAAUGUAAUUUAAUUUAAUGGGGUUCAAACAGGGGCUUAGAAUGUAGUUAAUAUAUUAAUGUCCUGAUAUGCCCGUAUCUAAUGUGUUUUGUUAUCACAAAUAUAACUUAAUUAUCUUGGAUUUUGAUUGCAUUAACAUAGGGGUAUAUUAAGAAAAAUGAUAGUAAAAUUUAUUAUUUCAAUUAUAUGAAUUAAUUUUUUUUAAUCAAUGUGAAAAAAGAAAUAUGACCAUCUUUAUGAGACGAAUGUAGUAAGUUGAUAGAAAUUAGUAAUAAGUAAGUAAAAUACGGAAUGUUAAUAAGUUACUUUUAGCGUAUAUGUGUAUAUGAAUGAGUAAAAUGCACGAAGUAGAAAGUUAGUCUGCAAUUUUUCAAAAGGAUAAUUGGCACAUUAUGUCUCCCUUUCACCAUUAUUGUAAAAAAGGUAUUCACUUUUCAAUUUUUGACAUUUUCAUCCUUAAUUAUACUGUUAAUUGUGCAAAACAUCAUUUUAAUUCAAUUUCUCAAUAAAAAGUUGUGAAAUAAUGAAUACACCAUCAUAUUUAAAUAAAAUAAAAAGAAAAGAAGAGAAAAAUAAAGAUCUAAUUAUAAUCAUACUCCAAAAUUUUUUAAAAAGUACAAACGAGUUCCAAAUAAGUUAUUAAAAAAUUAGAAACUAAAAAUAAAUAAAUAAAAAUUCUCUUUCUUUUCCUUAUUCCUCCUCCUCCUCCUCCUCCUCCUCCUCCUCCGCCCACCAUUUCUUUAUUUCUUGUUUAAGUGAGAGAUUAAUUUGAUAGUUGGGACAAAAUGGAUUUGAAGUGGAAUAAUCCAAAGGAACUGGCUAUCUUUUCCUAGUUUCCCCAUUUCUUUAUUUCUUGUUCAUGCAUCGUGACACUGAGAAAAAAAUGCAUCUAGCAAGCUGAUUUUCCACUUAGCCAAAUAAGCUUAGCCCAUCUACCAUUCAUUUCUUUUGAUGUAUAAAUUCAUUUCACCUCAAAAAUCAGAAUAAUUUGCCAAAUAAACCACAAAUACACACACAUGCACAGAGAACGGAUUACCUUGUUCCAUGUUCAAUUCUGCUUUUGGAAUGCAAAGUGUGGAUGAAAUGCUCCUUGGAGAGCCAUUUUCCCCACAAAAAAAGAAAAAAGAAAAAAAAGUGUUUUUAAGUAAGAUUUUAAUAUUUUUAUGGAAAAUCUUUUUGAUUGUGUGUUAAGAAUCAGUGCUGGAAUGGGUGCAUUGAUGGAGAAGGAUAAGACAUUUAUAAAUUAAGGAUGAAUGUUGGUGUCCCACAUGAGUUAUCUAUCUCUAAUAAGAUUUAAAAUCAUGACAGAAAACAAAUUGGGCCUAUACAAAUUAGUGGUGGUGGUAGAGGAGGAGGAGGAGGAGGAGGAGGAAGAAGAGAAAGAAGAAGGAAAAGAAAGAAUUUUUUUUUUAAAUAAUUUAUUUGGGAUUCAUUUGCACUUUUUUUUAAAAAAAAAUUUGGAAGCAUGGUUACAAUUAGUUCCUUUUUUUCUUUUUGUUUUAUUUAAAUAAAAGAGUAUAUUUGUCAUUGCACUAUUUUUUAUUGAGAAGAUGAAAAUGAAAUUUUUGGUGUGAUUAAGGGUGAAAAUACCCCCCCCUCCCCCCUCCCCCCAAAAUAAAAAUAAAAAUAGGAACGUUAUGUUCUAAUUACCCUUUUCGAAAACUGUAAGCAACUCUUAGUUGUUCAUGUUAAUUGCACGAUUAGUCUUUAAUAAACAUAAACAAUUUAAAAGAUCUUCUAAAACCAACUCUUCUCAAAAUGUCAUUUAAAAAGGUUGAGUUGGAAUCAAAUUCUAACUAUGAAUUCUUAUACAUUUCUAAACGGUUUAGUUACAAAAGAACUAGGAGCGAAGACAUUUCUCCCCUUUCGUCUAACUAGAAGGUUUGAAUGAUUUUCGUUAUUGGAAAAUAAUAUACUUAGAACAUACUCAGUGUCAAAAGAUUAUGCUAUAAUUUGGUUUAAAGUUUGGUCCAUUUUUUUCCUUUUACUUCAUAAAAUUAAUCUAUUUUUUAAAAUAAUAAUAAUAAAAGGUUUAGCUAGUUGUGUUAUACUUAUUAAAGAUCAAUGAUUAACUUGUUAUUUGAGCAAUAUAUGAAGGGCAACCGUGCAAUUUUUCUAAAGUGAGAAAAACGUAGUUUACAUUGGGUGACUUUAUAACGGGGAAGAAGGACCGUUGUCUUAUUGUUUGUCCGGCUCUUUUCAGGCUUCUAAGCUGUAAUUCUUACACGUGGCGGGAAUUAGUAUCCUUUGGGACCCAUUUUGUUAUCUAGAGCGAACCAAUUUUGUCUUUUAUAUGUGCUUCGUUGGUAGUUAUACUAAACCCCAUUGUCCGAUCGGAUUAAAAUUAAAUUUUUAAUAAAUUUUUAAAAAAUAUAUAUGAUUGAAAAAUUAUAUAUUCAAUAAAAUAUAUGAUUAAAAUUAAUUAUUAACUAUAAGUUAAAUUAAAAUUUCACUACCAAACAGGGACUAAGUGAUUAUAUGCAUGUAAGUUUUACCGAAUAUAAGUCACAUAAAAUACGUAAAAAAAAUAUUUAAUCAACUUAAAUAAUAAUUUAUACAGUGUCAUUGAGUUCUUAUUCAAUUUUUCAAGACCUUUUAAGUUAUAGACUCUUAACAAAUUAGGCACACAGGUUUAAUAUAUGAAAACCGUUAUUUUUAAAUAAAUUUAAUUGAGUUAUAUAUAUUUUUUUAAAAUACUAGUAGCAUAUUUUAUUAAGAUCGAAAAGGAAAUUGCGAAACUUUGAAGAGGGACCGAAUGCUACAUGAAUAUUAAGAUUGAUAUAAAACUUGACAUAAUGUCAUGUGGCACAUUUUAUCAUCGGACAAUUUAAAACACUUCAACUUUUCUAUUCAAUCAUCUACUGUCACAUGUAAUUAUGUCAAAUUUUCUAUCAAAUCCUUCUUGCAAAGUAGCUUCAUCCAAGCGAGAAAAGGUAGAACUUACCCAUUCAAAAAAGGAAGUACAAGAAAGUUUUAAACUAAAACAAAAUUUAGCGUUUUUUUUAUGGGGAUUAAAAUCAAUUUUUUUUGUAAAUUUGUUGAAAAUUAAUGAAAUGUGUGGUUGAAAAAUUGUAAGACCUAUAAAAUAUGUUAUUAAAAUUAAUUAUUGAAUUUGAUUUAGAUUAAAAUCUGAAAUUUAAUUAUUUAGUGAAUUUCUUUGUUAUUUAAUGCACCUUAAAUGUAGGGAUAUUCAUAUUGAGAAAAUAGCGAGUUCAUAUGUUUAGAUAAGAUUGAUUCUAUUCAAGAAAGACUAUCAAUUAAAUUUGAGAAAUUCGAUUGGCAGCUCAAAUGAAAUAAUAUUGCCUUAAUUUAAUACACGAUGUUAAAUUAGAAAAACUAAGAUAAAAUCAUGAGUCCUAACAUCUUGUUAAUCAAUGUUUUUUCAUCGGUCAAAUUUGUGAUCGCUACUCCAAUUCUUUAAUUAAAUUUUAAUUUUUAGUAAAAAAUUAACAAAUUAAAUCAAAUAUUUUAAAAUUUUAAAAUAAAUAGUUAGGAAUAGUGUAAACUUUAAGCCCUUAUUUGAGCCUCAUUAUUUCCAUCAGAAUAUAUUAUUUAACAGUGAUUUGACUCAUUUCAAUCACACAUUCUUCAUUAAAAUAAUAUUACACACAAAUUUAAAAUUUUUAUUUAUUUUUUAACCACACAUUUUUCGUCAACACACUAUUCAAAAAUAUUUUUUUUUGGUAAGAAUGAAACUCAAACAAGAGCUAAAUUGAAGGUCAACAACACAUUCUCUUGGGUUGACACUUGACUUGAAUUUAUUGUUUUACUAGUCAUAAUAUCUUUGCAUUUAUAAUCAAAGUGAUAAUGUCGUUGCAGUAGUUGUGGUGGUUAUCUUGUCAUCGCCAAUAUUCUUUCGUGUCUCAUUAUUAUCUUCGAUAUUUCGUUAAUUAACAUACUUGGUCUUGAAGAUGGUUUCUAACCAAACUAGUCUAUGUCACGUGUGUUGCACGAGUUUUAUAUUUAUUUUGUUGUUAUUAGCGUAGAAUUCGUUGAUUUGACCAAAAAAAAAAAAAAAAAUUUGAAGAUGUGAAAUGUUUGCUUGAUUUACAUUCUUUUGUAGACUGUAUAUUGUAUGUCAAUGAUAAUUCAUUUUUAUUUUCAUAAAUAAAUAUAAUCAAUGAUGUCGACUGUAUACUGUAUGUCUUCGAUAAUUUAUUUUUAUUUUUUAUCAAUAAUUAUAAUCAAUGAUGUAAUGAUCUUGCGAAAUUAGGUUGUAUAUGUUUAGGUGCAUAAGUGAAAAGUUAAUUAUUUAUUGAUUGGUAUUUUUUUAUUUAGAUUAAAGUAGAUGAAGAAUUGAUUUUUUUAUUUGAUAUUUAUUGCAAAUAAGUUGCAACUUGAAUUUAGCAAAAUGUUUGAACUACUGAAUAAUGAACCCUAAUGUUUAUGGUCUACAAAAAAGAUCACACUGAUGGAACUCUGACUUGUCUAUAAACUUUUAAAUUUCAGUUAUAUCUUUUCUAUUUAACUAAUAUGAAAUAAUUAUCUUUCCCUAUGUAUUAAAAAUUUAUCGCUGGAUUCAUUGUUAAUUUAUUUGUGCUAUUUCUAAUUCUAAUUCCAUCUUUCUUGCUUACUAAUAUUAAAAUAUAUUAUUUUAUACUGAUGUCAGGUAAGUUUUAAUUCUUUUGAAUUAAACAAUCUCCUCAACUCUUUCAUAUCUAAUAAAAUAGAUGUACCGCACCGUUUCUUCUGAAUUAACACACCUUCGUUGAGCCAUGACGUUCAUGGUCUUCUUCCAAAUUAUCACACCUUCGUUGUGCCAUGAGAUUUGUCUAGUGAGUAUUAUAAAAAUUUAUCUUAUAUAAACUUUCAUUAAACAACAAAAAACCUUUCACACAAACAUAAAACCCAUUCUUUUCUCUCAAAUACUUACAUCUCUUCUACGCGCUUUAUUCAAUUUCAGUUUAUAUAAAUUAAGUAUUGUCAUGGAUAUCAUUCAACCACCAUAUUAGCAUUAUAUUUAAGGUUAAUUAGUCUGAUCAUAAUCCUUUUCCUUUUAACUCAAGUCAUAUCACAAAUGUGUUCAAUUAAGCUAAUAUAUGAAGAUCAAUCCUAAAUCAUUUGAGAAACAUUAAAAGAUGAAUUAUUCAUCAAAGUUAUAUAAUAAGUUGAUAAGAUAUUUCUUCAAUCGGUAUAAAAAUUGGAAGGAUAAUUUCAAUCAAAAAACGAUGACCCUCAUCUCUCAUUUCAUGAUAAUAUUCCUGUUGGAACUCCAUAUAUACUUGUGAGGGCGAAAAUUCAUUCAUUUCCAUGCACACAUAUAAAUUUAAAAGUAUACACACAUAUACAAAGUAACAAACUAACAUAAAAAUAGAAGAGAAGAGAACAAUACGAAAAUAUAAUUUACUGGGAUUUAAUUUAUAGCAAUCCAAUAAUAGGAACUGAUGAUGGUUGGUGAAAAUAAUUUUAUCAAAAUAAGGAGAGUUCUCAUACUCUUCUGUGAAAAUUACACUACAUAAUAAAUAGCAUUAAAUCAACCAUUAAGCUUGUUUACCUCCACGUUUUUUUUUUCAAUUUUAAUUAAAUAAUAUUUAUGUAUUCUUUUAUUUAAUUUUUGUAACUUUCUUUUGUUUAAUUUUUUUAUUAUAUAUUUUUUGUAAAUUGUUUUAAAUUUUCCUUUUUCUUCAUAUUAUAACUAAUUUUUUGUUCAAUUUAAAUUUUUUUUUAAUUCUUUUCGUUUUUUGAGAGAACGUAACUUGUUCAAUUUUAAUUAAUAAUAUUUAUUUUUAUUUUUAAUUAUUUCAAUUUAAUUAAAAAACUUUAUAAUAACAUUUUUUUUUCUAUUUUUGACUGAAUUUUUUUUUUCUUUAAUUUGUUAAAUUAUUUAGUUUGGAUGAAGUGUAGUGUGUGAAAAUGAAAAAAAAUAUAUUACAGGGGAGGUGAUUGUUGCAAUGAAGUGGCGUGUAAAAAUGGAAAAAUGAUUGAAGACAACACGACGUCGUUUUUGCUCCCACGAUUAAAAAAAAAUUGUUACAAUGUGAUAAAAUGAAAGAAUUCACUGAUACUACUAUAGUAACUUCUCAUUCUCUUUUUUAUAUAGUAGGGAUAUUCUAUCAGCGUGCUUUCAAACAUAUCCAACUUCGUAUUUUUAUUUAUUUUCACUUAUUUUAAAAUAUGGAGGAAAAAUAUGUCUUUUAGCCCCUAUUUGAUCCCCACUACAUGAAAAUGAAAAUGAAAAUGGGGGGAAUAGUAUUUUUUAGAAAAAUGAGUGGUUGAAAAAGAAAGAAAUUUUUUUGAUAAAACCCUUGAUUGACAAUGUUGUAUUAAUUAAGAGACGAAAUCGUCACCCAAUUAACUCUGUCCCAGUUGAUUAAGGAUUGUUGUUUCCACAAGUACAACAUCCCUAGACAAAAUAUAUGAAAACACCAUUUUCAGCUGCAAAAAUGAAACAACAAUAGCUCAAGACACAAGUCCAUUUCAUAUGUACAUUUACUUCACAAGUCCAUUUCAUAUGUACAUUUACUUCAAAAUACAAAUUAGUAGGCGGUUUUCAAAACUUUGUACCUAUCAACACAACAAAAGACAUCGUCACAAAAAGAUUAAGCAUAAGCAAAUCAAAAGCAUACUUCGAUUACAUGAAUUAAAAUUAGAGAAAUGCAAGCUGUUUGGUUUUACUCAAAAGUCAAAUGUAAGUCGAUGAAACUUACUUUUCUAGAAAGUACGAUUAUAACUUGCUUUUUAGAAGAAUGACUUUUAAGCAGAAUCAAAAAUGCUAUUUAUCGGUGAAUACUGAAAUAGGUGAAGGCGGGGAAAUGCUGCCGGUCAAAAGCGCUAUCUCAUCGUCGACAGAAAUGUCUACAACCUCGACCUUGUGAGUGUUCAACUUUUCAUUCUGAAUUGCUCGUAAAGUCUCUAGUACUUCUUCCAUUGAAGGCCUCAUAUCUCUUUCCUGCUGCAAACACCGAAAUGCCAACUCUGCAACAAGUGUAAUCAUCCUUCUCGUAGUACAAUCCCUCUCAAAUCCGAGACUCUGAUCAACCAAAUCAUGCAACGUACGAUUUUGAAUUUUGUUGAUAGCCAUGUUGGAUAAGUUGAUAUCGUGACGGUGUCUGUUGGUAUCCACAGCUUGUAAUGAAGACAUGAGUUCAAUCAAAACCACCCCAAAACUAUAAACGUCACUCUUUUCUGUGAGUUUGUAGCAUUGGUAGUAUUCGGGGUCAACAUAGCCAGGAGUCCCUUGUGGAGCAGUCGACACGUGUGUCACGUCAUUCGGGAAUAUUCUGGACAACCCAAAAUCAGCAACUUUUACAUGGAAAUCAUUGUCCAGGAGAAUGUUGUUGGUUUUUACAUCACGAUGCACGAUGUCCGAUUUAUGGAGAUAAGUUAGUGCAUCCGCUGUUUCAAUGGCAAUAUUCAACCGAAUUGGCCAAGAUAGCAAGCCAGACUUCGCCCUUUUUCCGUGCAAAUGAUCAGCCACUGUUCCAUUCGGUAUAUACUCGUAGACUAGCACUAGGUCUCGGCUACUUUUUGAUGUGCAUCCAUACAGUGUCACAAGGUAUAUAGGUUCUUUGAAGUUAUUUAUCUAUUAUUUUAUAGUACAAGAUGUUAGUGGCGGACUCAGACAUUUUGUGGGAUCAAAAAUUAAAAUGCAGUCAAUACAGUACUAUAAUUAUAGCCUACGGAUUUUAUACUUUGAAAAAGUCGUCUAAUUACAACAUUAUCAAUAAUAUAUGUAUUAGGAAUCACUUCUACCAUUGCACUCGAACUCUAAGAGGAUCCUUUUGAUAAGAUAACUAGCUUAGUGAGCUCUUAUUUUCAUAAAAUAAAUAAGUUAUUUACAUAAAAAAAAAGUAAAUAAACAUGCUUUAAAGUGGAAAUCUAAAAAUAUGUGCUCCAUGUUGUUAAUAGGAGGUCCAAAAGCAUAUCCUCGAGUAGUGGUGCACUUGUCAAAAAGUAUUAUCAAAGCAUGAAAAUAAAGACCAAAUUAAAAAUUGGUUGUCCCUUUCAUGAUUUUGUGCCACUUUUUAGAAAUCUGUCACCAUCUUAAUUAGUAAAUACAAAUUUCAUUUUCAACAUAAUUAAUUAUGUGUUAGAAGAAUUAGUUUCUUGCCUUGCAGGUCAAACAAACAACCGUCUCUCAUUUAUUGACAGAAUUGGCAUCUUUAUACUAUAAUUCAAACAAGAUUAAUGAUCUUCUAUGACAAGGCUCUGUCAAAAAAUUCCUUAAAAACUAACAAGUUGCUUCUAAAUUUAUUUCAAUAAUUUUCUUACUGUAUUUUAUUUCAUUAAAAGAAUUUUUAAAGAAAGUUAAAUGAAAAGAACAAACUUGAAAUCUAAUCGUUCUAAAAGUAAGUAUUUUAUUAAAAGUAACGAGAUUGAGUAAUGCUUUUUACAAUCAUUUACAAUCGCUUUACGUGAUAUGUAUAUGAUGAUCAUGUAUGUCACGUAGAACGACUGCAGUAGUGAACAACUGCUUAUAUCAUUAUUCUUAUUAAUAUGCUCAAGUCAUUUUGACGAAGGUACAAGCAUCUAUACAAAGUACUUCGUUAUCACUUCUAAUGAUAUAUUUCAAUGGUGAAAUUCCUUUAUGUUUUUACAUUUUUUUAAGGGUAAUAGGAUAUACUAUUUUUACAAGUAUCUAUUAACAAAAAAGUUCCGUACAAAAUUACCUCUCAAUGUGAAAAUAUUUGGUUUUGCUACAAGUACAGAAAAAAUUGACAGAAUUUUUACAAAGAAAUACUUGGUAAAUUUUCAUUGAUUUUUGACACAACAAACACAGAAAUUACACCAUACAAAUACUGUCAACACAACACCUAUAUCAUUUCUGUCAAUAAUUCCCCGUACCUAUGGAAUUAUUCUAAAAUUAAGGGUAACAUAGAGACUUAACGGCGAUAGACAAGAAUUAUGAGUUUAACAUAGAGAUAACAUUUUUUUUUUAAUACGAAAUUUGACGAUAACGACAUAGUUCUUCUACCUUCAUAAUCUUAAAAAAGCAGAAGCCAAAAUUACCUAAAAUAAUGAAAAGCAAAAAUUUAAGACUAAAAAUAAUUAUUUUACUAUUAAAGGUCAGAUUAAUCACAUCACUCGGGUAUGCCGACGAGAACCGGCCGCCAAGCUCUCCUAAGCAACCGGUGCCGGAACAUAGCUGAUAACGGCCGUCCGGAACGUGCCCCACCGACGCCCGCAGUUGGUAACAGCCCUUCUCUUAUAUUCUCCGAAACUUUCUCUUUGAACGUCGGAGGUGACGAAACAAACAAAUCCUUCAGUUUAUGUCUAACAACAAUUUCCUUCCCCCUUUCCGACGAUUUUCCGUCGCCCCGCGGCCGCCUGCCCGGAGAUCAACUUCACGGAGCGGCGGCAGCCUUCUUCCGCCGCGGCUGAGCAGCAUACGGAGAGUGCUUCUUCUCCGGCGGAGGUGGAUUACUGGGCUUGUAGUUGGACUCCUUGUUGGGCUUCCGGCAACUGCACACUGUGUAGCUAACAGCUUGAAUUUCUGUAGAGUCGUCAUGAUUUGUUCCUGUAAAUAGUUUAAUUUAAU